rnacentral:rRNA from 1 species
UACGGAGGGUGCAAGCGUUGUUCGGAUUCAUUGGGCGUAAAGGGUGCGUAGGCGGCGGGGCAAGUCAGGUGUGAAAUCCCGGAGCCUCAACUCCGGAACGUGCACUUGAUACUGCCUUGCUAGAGUACUGGAGAGGAGACUGGAAUUUACGGUGUAGCAGUGAAAUGCGUAGAUAUCGUAAGGAAGACCAGUGGCGAAGGCGAGUCUCUGGACAGUUACUGACGCUGAGGCACGAAGGCCAGGGGAGCAAAACGGG